rnacentral:rRNA from 1 species
GGUGAACGCUAGCGGCAGGCCUAAUACAUGCAAGUCGAACGGUGUCUUCGGACAUAGUGGCGCACGGGUGCGUAACACGUAUGCAACCUACCUUACAUUGGGGGAUAGCCUUUCGAAAGGGAGAUUAAUACCGCAUAAGACAGUAGCUGGGCAUCCAGCAGCUGUUAAAGAUUUAUCGAUGUAAGCUGGGCAUGCGUCCAAUUAGCUAGUUGGUGAGGUAACGGCUCACCAAGGCAAUGAUUGGUAGGGGAACUGAGAGGUCAAUCCCCCACACUGGCACUGAGAUACGGGCCAGACUCCUACGGGAGGCAGCAGUAGAGAAUUUUGGACAAUGGGCGCAAGCCUGAUCCAGCCAUGCCGCGUGUCUGAAGAAGGCCUUCGGGUUGUAAAGGACUUUUGUCCGGGAGCAAAUGCUGGUGGCUAACAUCCACCGGAGCUGAGAGUACCGGAAGAAUAAGCACCGGCUAACUACGUGCCAGCCGCCGCCGUAAAAC